rnacentral:rRNA from 1 species
ACCCGCUGAACUUAAGCAUAUCAAUAAGCGGAGGAAAAGAAACCAACAGGGAUUGCCCCAGUAGCGGCGAGCGAAGCGGCAAGAGCUCAGAUUUGAAAUCUGGCCGCCCACGGCGGUCCGAGUUGUAAUCUGCAGGCGGGUUCUCUGGCGAGCGCGCACCACCUAAGUCUCCCUGGAACGGGGCGCCAUAGAGGGUGAGAGCCCCGUGAGGAGGGGCGCGCGAGCCUGUGUGAGGCCUGUCCGACGAGUCGAGUAGUUUGGGAAUGCUGCUCUAAAUGGGAGGUAUAUUCCUUCUAAAGCUAAAUACCGGCCAGAGACCGAUAGCGCACAAGUAGAGUGAUCGAAAGGUGAAAAGCACUUUGAAAAGAGAGUGAAACAGUACGUGAAAUCGUUGCAGGGGAAGCGCUGGUUACCAGUCGCGCACCGGGGGGUUCAGCCUUCGCCUCGGCGUCGGUGUACUCUCCCCGGCUGUGGGUCAGCACCGGCUCCCGCGGCGGGAUAAAUGCCCAGGGAACGUGGCCCUCGCUUCGGCGGGGGUGUUAUAGCCCUGGGCGCAGUGCCGCCCGCUGGGGGCCGAGGACAUUCGCGCCUUCGGGCUAGGAUGCUGGCAUAAUGGUCAUCAGCGUCCCGUCUUGAAACACGG